UUUGAUCAUGGCUCGGAUUGAACUGGCGGGAUGCUUUACACAUGCAAGUCGAACGGCAGCCUGGACUUCCGAUCUGGUGGCGAGUGGCGAACGGGUGGGUAAUGUAUCCGGAACGUGCCUAAUGUGGCAGGGGAUAACUACGCGAAAAGCGUAGCUAAUACCGCAUACGCCCUUCAGGCGGGGGACCUUCGGGCCUCGCACUAUUAGAGCGGCCGAUAUAUCGGAUUAGCUAGUUGGUGGGGUAACGGCUCACCAAGGCGACGAUCCGUAGCUGGUUGAGAGGACGACCAGCCACACUGGGACUGAGACGGCCCAGACUCCGGGAGGCAGCAGUGGGAAUUUUUGGACAAUGGGGAAACUCCUGAUCCAGCCAUCCCGCGUGUGCGAUGAAGGCCUUCGGGUUGCCAAAAGCACUUUUAGCAGGAAAGAAACGGCACGGGGAUAAUACCCCGUGCAACUGACAGUACCUGCGGAAUACGCACCGGCCCAACUGCAUUGCGCUUGGCCGCGGUAAUACGUAAGGGUGCAAGCGUUAAUCGGAAUUACUGGGCGUAAAGCGUGCGCAGGCGGUUCGGAAGAAAGAUGUGGAAAUCCCAGAAGCAACUUUGGAACUGCAUUUUUAACUACCGAGCUAGAGUGUGUCAAGAGGUGGAAUUCCGCGUGUAGCAGUGAAAAUGCGUAGAUAUGGAGGAACACUGAUGGCGGGCAUACUCUGGGAUAACACUGACGCUCAUGCACGAAAGCGUGGGGAGCCAAACAGGUUAGAUACCCUGGUAGUCCACGCCCCUAAACGAUGUCAACUAGCUGUUAGGGCCUUCGGGCCUUGGUGGCGCAGCUAACGCGUGAGGAUGACCAUAUAAAGUACAGUCGCAAGAUUAAAACUCAAAAGGAAUUGACGGGGACCCGCACAAGCGGUGGAUGAUGUGGAUUAAUUCGAUGCAACGCGAAAAACCUUACCUACCCUUGACAUGUCUGGAAUCCAAAAGAAGUUGGGAGUGCUCGCAAAGAGAACCGGAACACAGGUGCUGCAUGGCUGUCGUCAGCUCGUGUCGUGAGAUGUUGGGUUAAGUCACAACGAGCGCAACCCUUGUCAUUGGUGCCCAUACGAAAAGGAGGCACUCUAAUGAGACUGCCAUUGACAAACCGGAGGGGUGGGGAUGACGUCAGAAUCCUCAUGGCCCUUAUGGGUAGAGCCGCACGUCAUACAAUGGUCGGGACAGAGGGUCGCCAACCCGCGAGGAGGCCAAUCCCAGAAACCCGAUCGUAGUCCGGAUCGCAGUCUGCAACUCGACUGCGUGAAGUCGGAAUCGCUGGUAAUCGCGGAUCAGCAUGUCGCGGUGAACCGUUCCCGGGUCUUGUACACACCUUACGUCACACCAGCCUGGGAGUGGGUUUUACCAGAAGUAGUUAGCCUAACCGUAAGGAGGCGAUUACCACGGUAGGGGAUUCAUGACUGGGGUGAAGUCGUAACAAGGUAG
rnacentral:rRNA from 1 species